GACGUAGGGCGCGAGCGUUAUCCGGAUUUAUUGGGCGUAAAGAGCUCGUAGGUGGUUUGUCGCGUUGUUCGUGAAAACUCACAGCUUAACUGUGGGCGUGCGGGCGAUACGGGCAGACUGGAGUACUGCAGGGGAGACUGGAAUUCCUGGUGUAGCGGUGGAAUGCGCAGAUAUCAGGAGGAACACCGGUGGCGAAGGCGGGUCUCUGGGCAGUAACUGACGCUGAGGAGCGAAAGCGUGGGGAGCGAACAGG
rnacentral:rRNA from 1 species